GAUGAACGCUGGCGGCGUGCCUAAUACAUGCAAGUCGAGCGAACAGACGAGGAGCUUGCUCCUUUGACGUUACCGCCGGCGGGGUGAGUAAAACGUAGGUAACCUCCCUCUAAGCCUGGGAUAACUUCGGGAAACCGGAGCUAAUACCGGAUAAUAUUUCUAACCGCUUGGUUCGUUAGUGAAAAAGGGCUUUGCUAUCACUUAUGGAUGGACCUGCGCCGUAUUAGCUAGUUGGUAAGGUAACGGCUUACCAAGGCAACGAUACGUAGCCGACCUGAGAGGGUGAUCGGCCACACUGGAACUGAGACACGGUCCAGACUCCUACGGGAGGCAGCAGUAGGGAAUCUUCCGCAAUGGGCGAAAGCCUGACGGAGCAACGCCGCGUGAGUGAUGAAGGUCUUCGGAUCGUAAAACUCUGUUAUUAGGGAAGAACAAACGUGUAAGUAACUGUGCACGUCUUGACGGUACCUAAUCAGAAAGCCACGGCUAACUACGUG
rnacentral:rRNA from 1 species